rnacentral:ncRNA from 2 species
UCUGGAAGCUGGGGGAGCCUUUAAACGGCUGAGAGUUCUCGUAAACGGGAUGACCCUGACGAACCUGAUCCGGAUAAUGCCGGCGUAGGGAAGCGGUUGCAUGCUAAG